GCUGCCAGUUAAUCAGCCACGCUGGGCUUGAGAGCUGAACGGAAAGCCACUGCACCACAGGACAUGGGUGGCCAGCUGCCUUUCUCACCAAAAACUGGAAUAAACAAGUUGUUUACAGUUAAGAUCUGAUGCCUUGUUGAUGCAUUUCUCUUACCAUAUGGGACCUGCUCCAGCAAGUCAAACAAUGCUGGUGUGCCUUGGGAAAACAAACCGCUGUGUCUAUGGUGACAUAGUUAGUUAUGAAAGAAACCGGUCACCUUCCUGGAUGAUAAAAUAACAACACAGCUGGCUCGGGUGGUAAGCAGACCCUUACUCACACAAAGGUCGUCCAAACAUACCCACCUGCCAAGACUGAACUUCAAUUACUGUAUUCUCUCAGCUCGUUUUUAGUUGUUGGAGAGUUGUGUGUGUGUGUGUGUGUGUGUACACGUGCACGUCUGUAUGCGCUCUUAUUUGUCUUUUUCUAAACCCUGCUGUUGCGCUGGUAAUUGCUGUGUGGUUUGAGAAAUGAUUGUUUGGAAAGCUCUGGUGAGAAGGUCCAGGUGCUUCUACAGACUCUCCAAAGCAAUGGAGCUGAAAGCAAAUGGCCUCUUCACACCUGUGGUCCAUCUCGCUUCGAGAGAUACGCUACCUUACUCAUAUGUAAUAACAGGAUCAAAAGAGCUGUUGAUCAAAUAUGGCUGCAUGAGGAGAACUGUCCAGCUGGUUUUGAUGUUGUUGUUGUUGUUUUUUUUUUUUUUUUUUGGUCAUUGAGGAUCAUUCUGGGCAAUCAUUUAGUUGGUGGAGAGAUGCGAUUGGAUGGCUUGUUUGGAGCUCUCCUGAUAGUAGUGUUUUCCACCUGUCACACAAAUGUUCACUAUCUUUUUCUGGGAGAUUUUUUUUAAAGAUGGUUUUGCUCAUUCAAACUGUUGAUGGUGCUUUCGCAGUUGAUUUGAAGCAUUACUUCUGUGGUGAACAGAUCCAUAUACAUGUUUGUGGCCCUG